GGCCCGUUGGUCUAGUGGUAUGAUACUCGCUUUGGGUGUGAGUGGCCCCGGGUUCAAAUCUCGGACGGGCCC
rnacentral:tRNA from 1 species